GCCGGGGUGGCGGAAUAGGCAGACGCAGGCGACUUAAAAUCGCUCGUGGCGACACGUGCGGGUUCGAGCCCCGCCCUCGGCA
rnacentral:tRNA from 1 species